ACACUCCAACCCAUGUGACCAUACCAAACUGUUGCCUCGGCGGGGUCACGCCCCGGGUGUCGUCGCAGCCCCGGAACCAGGCGCCCGCCGGAGGGACCAACCAAACUCUUUCUGUAGUCCCCUCGCGGACGUUAUUUCUUACAGCUCUGAGCAAAAAUUCAAAAUGAAUCAAAACUUUCAACAACGGAUCUCUUGGUUCUGGCAUCGAUGAAGAACGCAGCGAAAUGCGAUAAGUAAUGUGAAUUGCAGAAUUCAGUGAAUCAUCGAAUCUUUGAACGCACAUUGCGCCCGCCAGUAUUCUGGCGGGCAUGCCUGUCCGAGCGUCAUUUCAACCCUCGAACCCCUCCGGGGGUCCGGCGUUGGGGAUCGGGAACCCCUAAGACGGGAUCCCGGCCCCGAAAUACAGUGGCGGUCUCGCCGCAGCCUCUCAUGCGCAGUAGUUUGCACAACUCGCACCGGGAGCGCGGCGCGUCCACGUCCGUAAAACACCCAACUUCUGAAAUGUUGACCUCGGAUCAGGUAGGAAUACCCGCUGAACUUAAGCAUAUCAAUAA
rnacentral:rRNA from 1 species